rnacentral:rRNA from 1 species
AUUGAACGCUGGCGGCAGGCUUAACACAUGCAAGUCGAACGAAGUGGCGCACGGGUGAGUAACGCGUAAUCCACCUGCCCUUCAGAGGGGGAUAACAGUUGGAAACGACUGCUAAUACCGCAUACUGAAGGCGGGGAUUGCGUCUGAUUAGCUCGUUGGAGGGGUAACGGCCCACCAAGUCGAUGAUCAGUAGCAGGUCGGAGAGGAUGAACGGCCACAUUGGGACUGAGACACGGCCCAGACUCAGACGGGAGGCAGCAGUGGGGAAUAGUCCGCAAUGGACGAAAGUCUGACGGAGCAACGCCGCGUGAGGGAUGACGGCCUUCGGGUUGUAAAGCUCUGUUAAUCGGGACGCGGUACCGGAAUAGAAAGCCACGGCGAACUACGUGCCAGCCGCCGCGGUAAUAC